UGGGUUGUGGCUCAAUGGUAGAGUGCUUGCCUCGAAUGCGGGGAGCACUGGGUUAGAUCCUCAGCAUCACAU
rnacentral:tRNA from 1 species